GUGAAAGCAAUGAAAAAUUUUCAAGUGUACACAUCUAUUGUGAUCCUGAUAACUCACAGGAAUGAUACUGCUGAAAAUAGAGACUAGGAAUCAGACGGAUGUCCACUAAAGGCUGAGUCAUCCUAAAACCAUGUGUGGACAGAAAGAGUCCAUAAGACCUAAACGUCCUGGAAGGUGAAGUCAAACCAUUGAGAAAAUUACUUGGAGAGUCUUCCAGAGGCUGAGACUUCACAGCCAGGAGCAUCCCAGAUGCAGAGUCCAGAACUGGGGGGAUGUGGUACUGAGGGAGCCCAGAGCGGAUGGAAUAACAAGGAAGGAAUUUGCCUUCCUGCUUGAAGCAUCUAACGAAUCUGACAAAGUAUAUUAAAGAAAGUGUCUCAAGACACUGGACAUCAGCUUAAAGGAAGACUCAACAGGAUGAAAUUGUUUCCAAGUCACUUAACUGCAUCCUAGAAUGAACUCAAGUAUAUUUAUAGGAAUACAAUAAUGUACAGCCCUCAACAAGAGAAAUUUCACGAAGCUUGGCACACAUUCAAGAAUAACGAGGCAUGCAAAGAAGUAGGACAAAUGCAACCAUAAUACAGAGAAAAGCCAAUCAAACAGACCCAGUAAUGACACUGAUGAUGGAGUUAGUAGACAAGGCCAUUAAAACAGUCAUUAUAACUGCGUUCCAUAUGUUUGAGAAACUUGAACAUGAUAAGUAGAGACAUGGAAGGUACACUGGAACCAACUGGAAGAGCACUAAAUUGUCAAAGCUGGAACAUUUUGAGCAACAAAAUAAAGAAAGUAGUAUAGAGUGAUAGCCUAAUGUGUAAACUAAAUAGCCAUGAAUUCAUUCUGAUAUAAAUAAAUGAUUGAAUAAAUAAAUGAUU